UACGUAGGGGGCUAGCGUUGUCCGGAAUCAUUGGGCGUAAAGCGCGUGUAGGCGGUUCGGUAAGUCUGCUGUGAAAGUCGGGGGCUCAACCCUCGAAUGCCGGUGGAUACUGUCGGACUAGAGUGCGGAAGAGGCGAGUGGAAUUCCUGGUGUAGCGGUGAAAGUGCGCAGAGUAUCAGGAAGAACACCAAUUGCGAAGGCAGCUCGCUGGGACGUUACUGACGCUGGAGACGCGAAAGCGUGGGGAGCAAACAGG
rnacentral:rRNA from 1 species